AAAGGAAUCAAUGUCUUUUUUGCUUUCUGCCUUUAUUCAAGUUCUAGAAUUGAGAUGUUUUGGUAUUGAUGGUUGAGAUUCGAAUGAGGAGAACCCUUUAAAUCAUAUCUAUAUUCUAUAAUCUAAUUCCGGCUAAUUCAUUUUCAUGAGUACACAAAGGACACUUGGUUUGGUAUAAUCUAAUUGCCGUUUUUGAGAUGUUAUUAUAUGUGAUUAAAACAGAAGGUGCUUCUAUGAAUUUUUGUCAUAAUCUUGUUAUCCAUUGUUAGUAUUCAAAAAGAAUUUACUUGGUUUUUAAAUUUAACUCAUUUGAUAUAGAUUCAUGUGGAUAUCUCUCUCUCGUUAUUUGAUGAAUGAAUGAAUAGAUAAUAUAUGUCGCAUUUAAUUCUUUCAUGAAAAUAAUUUUAUACAGUAUGAAGCAUAUGUAGCAGAGUAAGAAGCACAUACUCCAUAUGAAAUGGAUCUCACCUCUUGUCUUUGACUUGUAGCUGACCACAUUUAUGGAGAUAUUAAAUGGAUCUCUUACCUAUUGUCUACAAAGUCAUAACCCAACAGUAUCUUCUCUUUCUUUGACUCUAUGUGAUCCCUAAGCCUAGAUGUAUGACAUGUCGACCUCCAAUUAGCUUAUUCUUUCAAUCUGAUAAAUUCAUAUAAAGAUAACUAGUGAUAGUAAAGAUUUGAGUAAAAAACUCAGCACACAACUUAGACAAAAAUAACUCACAAACUACAGAAGAAAAGUAUGUAGUAUCUCAUUACUUCUACUUCUGGUCCUUUCUUAUUAACUAGUCUACAAGUCCAUGUAGUAUCUCAUUACUUCUACUUCUGCUCCUUUCUUUAUUAACUUCUUUCGUUUUUUUUUCUAAGGCAAAUGACAAUAAAUGUUUCUCUCAGUUUUUGUUGCUCGUCUCAGCAAGGAUGUCACAUAUUAUCCGCCUUGAAUGCUCUUUUAUUUCUUGUUUCUAGCACUUCGAAAACAUGCCUGAGAAGCCUAGCCUAAGCAUCUUUACUUUGCCUUGGCUGUUUUUUUUUUGUAACUGCCUUAGUUGUGAGGGUAACAUCAAUCACAUUCACACACCUCCAAUAUCGUAUUAUCACCCCAUUUCACAAACAAAAAUAGUUUUCGGCAUUGCUAUCAAAUUAUCAGUCACAUUCUCAAAACUCUAAAACUUGCAGAAUACUAGUAUAGGAUACCCUUCUUCUUUGCAUAUUUGCAAUCAUGAUUUUUUGUUCUUAAACGACAUGUUGUUGCUGUCACAAACAUUAAAUACAAAAUAUCAUAAAUGUUGUACAAAUUUUGCGUGUAAUAAAAUGGCCAGGGCCGGCUCCAAGCUCGCUGAUCGUCUCGUUUCACUCUAUUCCACACACAAUCAUAUUUAUUUCAUUUUCCUUAUUCCUCUUUUUUUUUUUUUUUUAUCUCCAUAUAUACAGAAUUAGGGGUGGGCACUUUAUCCGAUAUCCGAAGUGGCACCCGAACCCGAUCCGACCCCCCCGAACCGAAAUCCAAACCGAAGUAACAAAAUAUGCGAACAGGUAUUGAAUAAGGAAAAAUUAGAUACCCGAACCCGAACGGAUAAUACCCGAACCCGAAUGGAUAUCCGAACAUAACCGAACAUAUGUAUAAUUAACCUUAUAUUUCUAGUUUGCAUCUCUCAUUUUAUAUAAAAUAUUUAUAUUGAUACUACACAUACUUUAAGUUCAUAUGAUUUACAUACAAUUACG